GUAGUCAUAGCUUGUCUCAAAGAUUAAGCCAGCGUCUAGUAUAGCAUUAUACAGCGAAACUGCGAAUGGCUCAUUAAAUCAGUUAUCGUUUAUUUGAUAGUACCUUACUACUUGGAUAACCGUGGUAAUUCUAGAGCUAAUACAUGCUAAAAACCCCGACUCACGAAGGGGUGUAUUUAUUAGAUUAAAAACCAAUGCCCUUCGGGGCUCUUUGGUGAUUCAUAAUAACUUUUCGAAUCGCAUGGCCUUGCGCCGGCGAUGGUUCAUUCAAAUUUCUGCCCUAUCAACUUUCGAUGGCAGGGUCUUGCCCCAUGGUUACAACGGGUAACGGGGAAUGGGGCGGGGGCGGCGGGCCGGGCGCGGGGCGCGGCGGGCG
rnacentral:rRNA from 1 species